UACGUAGGGUGCAAGCGUUGUCCGGAAUUAUUGGGCGUAAAGAGCUCGUAGGCGGUCUGUCACGUCGGCUGUGAAAACUCGGGGCUCAACUCCGAGCCUGCAGUCGAUACGGGCAGACUAGAGUUCGGUAGGGGAGACUGGAAUUCCUGGUGUAGCGGUGAAAUGCGCAGAUAUCAGGAGGAACACCAAUUGCGAAGGCAGCUCGCUGGGACGUGACUGACGCUGAGACGCGAAAGCGUGGGGAGCAAACAGG
rnacentral:rRNA from 1 species